AAGUUCCUCUCUUGGGAGGAGAACGUCCUUCUCUGUGCUGAGAGCGGGAGUUUGACUGUAUCUCUCUGAGUCUCCUUUAGGAAAAAGCGAGUUAGAAUGGCAUGGUUUUCAAAUACAAGUUUCCUGGGAAAGUAAUUUUCAAGGACCACUUCCGAUUUGGACCGCGUUGGGCUCCAUAGCAACCCUGGGCGUUGACUGGCAUGUGAUCUCGGUAUCCUGUGCAGUUCAGGGAAAGCGUACCAAAAAAAUUCCUGCCAAACGAAGGAAGCUGAUGUUUGGAGCCUAGGUUCCAUCCCACACCAUGGGGGAGCCCUGUGCACAUCGUGGAGGCCCAUCCUACAAGUGCAAGUGGUCAUCACUCACUCUCCUGUGAGCAGUCACCCCCUGACACACCUAAAAGGAGGACAGACACAGGGAAGAGACCCACUCAGUCAGGAAAAAGGAUCAGAAAGAGUUCAUAUUCGCACAGAAUGAACAUCAGCAAGCAUUUGCAGUUUUGCAGGGCUAUGCUCACUCUUCAGCCUCCCGUCAUAACACAGUCUGAAGAGGACUGGAGCACGUGGACAGCCUAUGUAACCACACAUUGACCCAUUAUGUCAAUGAUAUGCUGCUCAGGCAGGAUGAGGAAGUGGUGGAGCGCACGCUAGAAGCUCCAGGCAGUGGGAGAGAAAUCCUAUGAAGAUUCAGUGACCUGCCACUUCUCUAAGGAUUCUGAAAAGUCUGAUGGCCAGCAGCGUGCUGGGACAUGUCCUCCUAAUUAAAGACAACUUUCUGCACCUGGCAUCCCUUACUGGAAGAAAGGAAGCACAAAGCCCAUUAGGCUUCUUUAAGUUCUUGAGGAAACACAUUCUACACCAAAGAAAACUACCCCUACACCCUGGGCUGCAUGGAAGUCUGCCAGCUUUGAGUGGACCUGGAGAGGGAAAAAUAACGCAGCAGUAUGUCCAGCCUGUGAUAUCAACAGCACUGCUGCCUGGACCUUACAAUCUGGCAGGGCCUAUAGUGUUGGAGUGUCAGUGAUGGAACAAUAUGUAGCGUGACGUUUAUGACAAGUCUCAAUAAAAGAAUCACAAAGAAGACCCCUGGGAUUAUGGAACAAGGUAAUGCCAACUGCUGGGAAGAAUUACUCCUUUUGAAAAACAGCUCCUAGCUUGCUACUGGGCCUUGGUAGAGAUACUAAAUGACUUUGGGCUCAGAUUGGCCAUCACGAGCUAGGUCCUAUUGGACAGAUCAAUUUAUACAGGCAGGCCCAGCAUCAGAGUCAUCACAGGAUAAAACAGGUGCAUCUGGGACUAAGCAUAAGCAGGACCAGGAGGUACAAUAAGCUGUAAGAGCAUGUAGCCCAGAUCUCCAUGUCACUCAUUACGGUUGCACUGGCACCCCUCCCCUAGCCUAGACCUGUGGCUGUGUGAGGGGGAUCCCAUAUAACCAGCAAAAGGAAGAAGAAAAAGAAUACACUGGGCUCAUUGGUGGGUCACUUCAGUAUGUGGGUACAAGCUGAAAAUGGGUGGUGGCUGUAUUACAGUCUCGCUCAGAGGAGGCCUUGAAGAACAGUGGUGAAGGAAAAUCUCACCAACAGGAGGAGCUUUGAGAUGUGCACCUGGUCAUCCACUUGGUGCGGAAGGAGAAUGGACCAAGGUUACAACAAAUGUGGACUCAUGGACAGUGAUGAGUGGCCUGGCUGGUGGGCGGAGGACCUGAAGAAAAAGACUGUAAAAUCAGAAACAAGAAGAUUUGAAGUAGAGGCAUGUGGAUGGACAUAGGGGAGUGGACACAAAGUGGGAAGAUGUUUGUCUCACAUGUUAAGGCCCACGAGUAAGCGUCUAUCAUGAAAGGUGUGCCAACUAGACAAAAUAAUAUGGCUGGUUAGUGCAGCCAGCCUUGGUCAGAGCCCCUCUCUCACCACUGCUGCAUGCUGGGGACCUGAACAAAGAGGCUAGGGUGGCAGAGAUGGAGGCAAUAAAAAAACGUAACAGCUUGGACUGUCAUUUGCCAAAAUGAAUACAGCUACUGCCACCUCUAAAUGUCCAGUCUGCCCGCCAUAAAGGCGAAUGCUAAGCUCUAUUCCUUAAUAGGAUACUCGGUGACCAGUUGACUACAUUGGGCCUUUUUUUUAUUUUCCUGGAAGAGCCAGAGGUAUGCUCUUUCAGGAACUGACACUGAUUCCAGGUACAGGGUUGCUUUUCCUGCCUGCAGGACCUCAGUAGCCCCAGUCUCUGGGGACUUACAGAUUGCCUGAUCCACAGACAUGGAAUCCCACAUAACACAGCAUCUGACCAGAAGCCUCUCUCCUUCACAGGAGAUAGGGGAGUGAGCCCACAAACAUGGGAUCUGCUGGUCAUAUCACACACCCAGUGACCUUGAAGUUGCUGGAUAGACAAAAUAUUGGAAUGACUAGUUAAAGACGCAGCUGAAGCUCCAGCAGGAGGCAACACAAUGCAAUGAUGACACUUCCUCCAAGACAUCAUGGUAUAUUUCUUCAAUCAGAUAGAUUAGUAUGGUGCUGUGUCUGCAACAGAAUCUUAAGUUUUUAAAAAAUUUAUUAUUAUUAUUUUUAAUGAAGGUACUGGGGAUUGAAUCCAGGGCCUCGUGCAUGCUAAAUAUGUGCUCUUCCACUGAGCUACUUCACUCACCCCCUCCACCCCAACCAAUAGAAAGAAUACAUGUGUCUUCCACAAUGGGUGGGAGUAUGAGUGGCUCCAGUUAGCAUCAUUCCAAUGACCUACUGGGGAGGAAGAAAUUUUCCUCUACCCUCCUGGCUGGCCUAAGAAUUAAAUUGACAUGAGGCAGAUUAACAGGAGAAAAGUCAAAGUUUAAUAACACAUAUACUUGGGAGAGACCCAGGAAAACUGAGUAACUCCUCAAAAUGGCUGAAACCCUCACUUUGAAUACCAUCUUCAGCUAAGGACAAAAGAGGGUGUUGGGAGUAGUGGUUUGGGACUUCGAGGGGGAGGAAGGCAAUCCACAUACAGGUGGAAAAGCAAAUAUUUGGUAAAUAAAUGUUUGCUGGGUCAUGCAGAGACAAUGGGAUGCAGAGUGGACUCUAAUCUCUAGACCCUGUUUAGAGUUUGCCCCACCAUAGCGAGCCCAUGUUCUUUGCAGGUGUCUCUGGUGAUAGCUCUAUUCUGGGAACAGGCCCUCUAUCUAAAUUUUUUUUAGGCAAUUAGGGGGAAGGUCAUGUUACGGAAAUGACAGGCCAGCCAAGAGACAAGCACCACUCGGAGGGCUGGAGUACUCAGGUUUAUUAUGCUGGCGGGCUCAGAGGGGCUAUUGCUCCGGGGCUCUGAGCACCUCUAACACGUGUGCGUGAGGUUUUAUAGGGUAGAUUACAAGCUUGGGGUAUACUGGCCAAUAAGGUGCAAAGAGCUCAGCAAUAUCACAAAAGGGAAGCAGGGAAUCAGUAAACUAGAACUUAUCUAAUAAGAACAGAUCAGUUACCGACACUAAUUAAACUUAGAUUUACGAGUUAACCCAGCAGAACUCGGAUCAGUAAUCUGACACUUGUUAAACUUAGAUUUACGAGUUAGCCCAGCAGAACUCAGAUCAGUAAUCCAACACUUCUUAAACUUAGAUUUACGAGUGGGCCCAGCCUGGCUUUUCCUUCUCAGUCAAAGUUUCUUCCUGAGUCUUUUUUGGGCUUUGAUUAUUUUCAGCUCAAAAUGAUCUGCACAACAAAGAGACAUUUUAGGGUGGCAAGUUUUGCUCCCUUACAAACUCACUGGCCUUCCCUGUCCCCAGAAGUCUCAGCUCUGCAAAAUUAGGGGUCUUAGUCCCGGAAAGGGGCACUUUCUUGCCUGGGGACACAGCAAAGAUCCCACUGGACUACAAGCUAUGGCUGCCACCAGGCACUUUGGCCUCCUAAUGGUGAGGGACCAGCAGGUAAGACAGGGAAUCAUUGUCUUAUGAAAGGUGAUUGGCCUGUUCAGCAGGAGGAGGUAGGACUGCUGUUAGAGGGGAUGGGGAGGAAUAUGUGUGAACUCCAGUGAGAUUGGAGAGUCAGUUGGUAUUCCUUUGCCCAGCCAUGUCUGUGAACGGACAAGACAAGAGCAGCAGCCAUGCUCUGAGAAGGUGCUCAGACCUCUAAGGAAUGAGGGUUUGGGGUACCCACCCAGGUGAGCUACCAAGACCCCCUUAGGGUGAGGGGAAUUAGAAAUGGUUUGGGGGAUUGAGCCAAGAUGGUGGAGUAGAGAGACUCACAGCUCGCCCUCUCCCACAAAUACACCAAGAAUUACAUCUACAAACCCAAUGAGUCGCACACAACACCUACUGAAUUCUGGCAGAGUGUCUCUUAUUCCAAAAUAUAGGAUUAUCACAAAAUCAAGUGAGAAAAAAAAAGAAAAAAUUGGUGCAGGACUGGUCCUGCAGGGAGGGAGCGGCAUAGGAAGAAAAGCGCCCUCAUGCUGGGACGUCCCUUCUCCAGCUAGGAGGUCAGCAGGGACCGAACUGGAGCUUCCAAGGAUCAGAGGAGAAAGUGGCAACUGAUUGGCAGACAGAACUAAGGGAAACAGACACUGAGGGUCCCUGCGAUCCCCAGCCCUAGACAUGAGCCGGCAAGGACUGGCUGCUUGAGAUCAGCGAUGAGCCAGGGAGAGGCUGGGGCCUACUGCGUGGAGGCGGCCUCAGGGGACUGGAGGGCGGUGUGAGCCCUGGCUGGGGGUGUGCGCAGAACAGAACAGCCUGGGAGCCUCCCAUAAAAGAGCACCACUGCUGGUGUGUGUUGGCGGGGAGGCGCGCAGUGCAGCCAGGCCAUAUCCGCUGUCUCCACUUGGCUCCAUUGCUGGUGUGUUCUCAUGAGAAGAGAGGUGGGGCUGGGUCAUAGCCAUUGCUGCUGAGAGGAGGCGGGGCUGAAAGCUGAAUCCAUCCCCAGGGGCCCUGCAACUUCACCAGGCGGGACUGAGAUUUGUUUACAGCCUAAGGCAGAGCAAGUGGAUUUGCUCUCUUUGGACCCUUUGUGAACCUGCACCCCUGGGAUGAAGAGGCAGUGAGCAGAGUUCUAACGCAGGGUGGAGGUUUACGGAUAUUUACAACAAGCCAGUGUACCUUAGGUACGUGGAGGCAGGGCUGGGGUCUGCACUGAACCUGUGGUGCACCACAGAUUCAGAUAUGUGACUGCACGCUUGCUAUGGUGGGUCCUAGUGCCUGACAUUGGUGGAUCUGCACUGGUGGUUCCUGGGACUCAGAAUCUGCGGGACACCAGAGCAGGUGGCUGACAUUACCACAGCUUGGGCAAGAACAAAGGCAGUGUCAACAAAUAAUACUUUGUAAGCCUGCAUAACAAGUGACAGACAACACCACAGAGGGCACAUCUCAGUGGACAUCUGCCUACUCUUCUUCUCAGCUGAAGCCUGCAUACUACACACCACAGCUCAGAAAUGGGUUUAGAAGCCUCUGUUCCAGGGGAGCAGAUGAGGACCCUGUCAAGGCUGUGACAACCACAGCACAAAAAAAGAGGCCUCACCCAAUAACAACAAUCAGGGCAGGCUCUGAUCACGACAACACCAACCACAUUCCCAAUCAAAGGGAUAACAGCCAAUACACAUGGAGGAAAGAAGAGGCAACCAUCCAUACUAAGAACAGCCAUUGCAACAAAACCAUUAGAUGGACACAGUUUACACAAGAAUGCUCCCACUUUAAAUAAAAACAAACAAACAAAAAAUAAAAAAGCCCUUCAAGACCACAGUAGAUAAUUGAUACUCCUAAAUUCAUAGAGCCAGAGAAAUAUAGGUAAAAUGAAGAAGCAGAAGAACCACUCCCAAUUAAAAGAACAAGAGAAGUCCCUUGAAAGAAUGAACAAUGAGAUAUCUACUAGAUCAUGACUUCAAAAGGGAAUGAUAAAAGCACUGAAGGAACUAAGAGAGAUUAUGAAUAGAAACAAAGAAUACUAUGAAAUAAGGAAAUUGAAACUAUAAAGAAGAGCCAAUUAAAAACAGAAAACUCAAUUUUUGAGAUAAGAGCCAAGCUAAAGGCAAUAAAAAGCAGACUAGAUAAUGCAGAGGAAUGAAUAAGUGACUUAGAAGACAGAAUAACAGAAGUCAUCCAAUCAGAAUGGCAGACAGAAAAGCAAGCAAAAAUCUAUGAAAGCAAUAUAAAGGACCUAUGGGGUAAUAUAAAGCAUGCCAAUCUACACACAAUAGGGGUCCCAGAAGGAGAAGAAAGAGAAAAGGAGAUUGAAAAGGGAUUCGAGGAAAUCAUGACUGAAAACUUUCCAGACCUAAAGAAGGAAUUAGGUAACUAAGUACAGGAGGCACAGAGGGUUCCAAACAAGAAGAACUCAAACAGAUCUACACCAAGACAUAUUAUAAUUAAGAUGGCCAAAGUUAAAGGAAUAAUUCUAAAGACAGCAGGAGAAAAACAAAGAGUUAGUUACAAGGGAACCGCCAUAAGACUUUUAGCUGAUUUCUCUGCACAGACACUGCUGGCCACAAGGGAGUGGCAAGAUAAAUUCAAAGUCCUGAAUGAGAAAAGGCUGCAACCUAGGAUACUUUAUCCAGCAAGGCUAUCCUUUAGAAUAGAAGGAGAGAUGAAGAAUUUCACAGACAAGCAAAAACUAAAAGAAUUCAGCAAAACUAAACCUAUACUAAAAGAAAUAUUGAAAGGUCUACUCUAAAUAGAAAAGCAGCAGGAAGCUAUAGAAAUGAGAAAACCAUAAUUGGAAAUGUGAUAACUACAAUGAGUUGCAAGAGAAUAAACACAAGGAUGUGAAAAAAUAAAUAGAAAUAAAGAAUAUCAAAAUCAUAGCAGGUGGGAGAGGGGAGCAAGAAAAUAUAGACUUUUUUUUCCCCUCUCUCUCUCUUUUUUUUCUUCAUUCUCUUUAGGAUGUGUUUGAGCCUACAUGACUACCAGUCUAAAGCAAACAGUUAUAGUAAGGGGUAAAUAUACUUAAAAAACAGGGUAACCACAAAUCAAAAGCAUACAAUGGAGUCACAAAAACCAAAAAGAAACCAAGCUAACACAAAAGAAAAUUAUGAAACCACAAAAAGGAAUAGGAAGAAACAAAGAAGAAAUAUCAAAUCAACUGGAAAACAAAGUUCAAAAUGGCAACUAAUACACAUCUAUCAAUAAUUACUAUACUCCACAGCCUCUCCAGCAUUUGUUAUUUGCGGACUUUUGAAUGAUGGCCAUUCUGACUGGUGUGAGGUGACACCUCAUUGUAGUUUUGAUUUGCAUUUCUCUGAUAAAUAGUGAUAUUGAGCAUUUUUUUCAUGUGCUUUUUGGUCAUUUGUAUUUCUUCCUUGGAGAAUUGCUUGUUUAGGUCUUCUGCCCAUUUUUGGAUUGGGUUUUUUUUUUUCUUAUUAUGUCAUAUGAUCUGCUUAUAUAUUCUGGAGAUCAAGCCUUUAUCAGUUUCAUCGUUUGCAAAAAUUUUCUCCCAUUCCACAGGCUGUCGUUUUGUUUUACUUGUGGUUUCCUUUGCUGUGCAGAAGCUUGUAAGUUUAAUUAGGUCCCAUUUGUUUAUUCUUGCUUUUAUUUCUAUUGCUUGGGUAGACUGCCCUAGGAGAACAAUUUGAGAUCUAUGUGAGAGAAUGUUUUGCCUAUAUCUUCUUCUAGGAGGUUUAUUGUAUCUUGUCUAUGUUUAAGUCUUUGAUCCAUUUUGAGUUUAUUUUUGUGUAUGGUGUAAGGGAGUGUUCUAGCUUCACUGAUUUACAUGCUGCUGUCCAGUUUUCCCAACACCUUUUGCUGAAGAGACUGUCUUUACUCCAUUGUAUAUUCUUGCCUCCUUUAUCAAAGAUUAGUUGACCAAAAGUUUCUGGGUUCAUUUCUGGGCUCUCUGUUCUAUUCCAUUGGUCCAUAUGUCUGUUUUUGUACCAAUACCAUGCUGUCUUGAUUACUGUAGCUCUAUAGUAUUGUCUGAAGUCUAGGAGAGUUAUUCCUCCAGCCUCUUUCUUUUUCUUCAGUAAUGCUUUGGCAAUUCUAGGUCUUUUGUGGUUCCAUAUAAAUUUUAUUAUGAUUUGUUCUAGUUCUGUGAAAUAUGUCCUGGGUAAUUUGAUAGGGAUUGCAUUAAAUCUACAGAUUGCCUUGGGCAUUUUAACAAUAUUGAUUCUUCCAAUCCAGGAGCAUGGGAUAUCUUUCCAUUUUUUUUUAAGUCUUCUUUAAUUUACUUCUUCAGUGUUGGUGGGAAUGCAGUUUGGUGCAGCCACUGUGGAAAACAGUAUGGAGAUUCCUCAAAAGACUAGGAAUAGACUUACCAUAUGACCCAGUAAUCCCGCUCCUGGGCAUAUACCCAGAAGUAACCCUACUUCAAAAAGACACCUGCACCCCAAUGUUCAUAGCAGCACUAUUUAUAAUAGCCAAGACAUGGAAACAGCCUAAAUGUGCAUCAACAGAUGACUGGAUAAAGAAGAUGCGGUAUAUUUAUACAAUGGAAUACUAUUCAGCCAUAAAACCCAUCAACAUAAUGCCAUUUGCAGCAACAUGGAUGUUCCUGGAGAAUGUCAUUCUAAGUGAAGUAAGCCAGAAAGAGAAAGAAAAAUACCAUAUGAGAUCGCUCAUAUAUAGAAUCUAAAAAAAAAAAGAAAAGAAGAAAAGAGAACAUAAAUACAAAACAGAAACAGACUCAUAGAUGUAGAAUACAAACUUGUGGUUGCCAAGGGGGCGGUGGGGUGGGAAGCGACAGACUGGGAUUUCAAAAUCUGUAGAUACUGACAGGCAUAUGCAGAAUAGAUAAACAAGGUUAUACUGUAUAGCAGAGGGAAAUAUAUACAAGAUCUUGUGGUAGCUCACAGCGAAAAAAAAUGUGACAAUGAAUAUAUGUAUGUUCAUGUAUAACUGAAAAAUUGUGUUCUACACUGGAAUUUGAUACAACAUUGUAAAAUGACUAUA